GGCAUGCCCGGCCGAGUGGUUAGGAGUUCGUUUGUUGAAGCGGAGGUCGCGAGUUCGAGUCCCACACAUGCCG
rnacentral:tRNA from 1 species